AAAUAUAUAUACUCUGUUAAUUUCUCUGUACCUAAUUAAAAAUUUACUUUUAAAUUUUUUGAUCUAAUAAUUUUGGAUGGAUGGUUUGUGAGGUUAAUGAAUGAACUAAUAUGGAAUGAUAAAAUGUAGGAGGUCUGGAAAGAUGGGUUUCAAUGCAGGUUUAUUGCUACUUUCCUUCAGGUCUGCAUUGCUUUGGUCUGCCUUCAGGACUGAGACUGUGAUUGGUUUCGGAACAGACACAAGUAUAUAUAUGGAUCAAUGCAAAGCACCUGAUUAUCAUACUUUAGGCUUUUGCUCUGCUUUCUAUGGUAAAAAAAAGUCACAUGACUUCGAAACUGAUACAGUUUAUCAAAGAGCUUGCUUCAAUAUUAAGAAUGCAAUUCGUGUUGCAGAUAAAAUUUUGACCAGCAACAUUGGUGCACCCAACCUAAAUCUAGCAACAUUGGCCGUGGAGCUUUAAAUAUCUCAGUUGUGCAACAAGUGAUGAUAGUAUUGGAACAAGAUUAGGAAACUGCCCAGCAAUCCAUGCAUGGCAAGGGGAAUGCACAGCUUAAUGAUUUCAGUCUCCGUACCAUCCAAGUGCGACAAAAAUCAAUUAUCUUGUGAUGUCUAGGAUUCUACAAAAGUAAGAAGCCUUCAUUCAUCUUCAUUCAUCCCCUGUUGCUAGAAAAGCAUUGGUAGCCUAUAAGCAGAUCAAGUUAUCCAAGAUUAGGGAAGGAGUUUCGCCUUUGAGAUCUCCAACAACUAAGCAGAAAUAAUGUCAAGGAAUGAACUAAUGUAAAAUGAUAAGAAGAUGAAGGUACACUAAGUGGUUCACUCAAUUUUGGCAUUUUAGUAUCAUUGGCAAGUGGUGUAGGACUCCAUGAUUCUGUGUUGUCCACAAGCAACGAAAA